CAUCGAUCUAAUUUGGCGAGAGCGAGACUUGGAUGGUCUCGUAGAUUAGAUCAUAUGAACUUCCGAUCCGGGACACUUAUUUCCAGGAGUUCCAGAUGGCUGAUAAGUAGAAAACAAAAAUUUAUGGUACGAAGAAAAGAACAAACAGUUUAGAAGGAAUCAGAUAAUUCAUAUAGAAAGACUAUAGAAAAUUUCCGACCCUUGGAGGAGGCGUCGGAAAUUUGCCGAGCGCGUCAAAACAUUACGGCGCUUUUUUAAGCGUUGGUAUAAACCAGAAAUUAAAAUGCAGAAUCUGCGAGUAGUCUUCCCUGACCAAAUUCUGUAGUUAAAACGAUACAGUUUCUAUGCGUUGUUUUCUCUUUGUUGGGGGCGAUACUGAACGAUGUAAUGAAUCUUUGAAGUACAAUAUGAGGGAAUAAUAUCUACAUAAUCUCGGGCG
rnacentral:lncRNA from 1 species